CAAUAGCGUAUAUUAAAGCUGUUGCGGUUAAAAAGCUCGUAGUUGGAUUUCUGUCAAGGACAACUGGUCCGCCCUCCGGGUGAGCACAUAGUUUGGUCUUGACAUCUUGCUGGAAGCUGUUGCUGCACUUGGCUGUGUGGCGCAGUGUUCAGCACUUUCACUUUGAGGAAAUUGGAGUGUUUCAAGCAGGCACAUGCCUUUGGACACAGUAGCAUGGAAUAAUUAGAUUGGGCUUUUGCUCCAAUUUGUCGGUUUCUGGAGCUGAGGUGAGUAUUAAUGGGGAUUGUUGGGGGCAUCCGAAUUUAGCCGUCAGAGGUGAAAUUCUUGGAUCUGCUAAAGACGGACAACUGCGAAAGCGUUUGCCCAGGAUGUUUUCAUUGA
rnacentral:rRNA from 1 species